rnacentral:rRNA from 1 species
UACGUAGGCAGCGAGCGUUGUUCGGAGUUACUGGGCGUAAAGGGUGUGUAGGCGGUUGUUUAAGUUUGGUGUGAAAUCUCCCGGCUCAACUGGGAGGGUGCGCCGAAUACUGAAUGACUUCGAGUGCGGGAGAGGAAAGUGGAAUUCCUGGUGUAGCGGUGAAAUGCGUAGAUAUCAGGAGGAACACCGGUGGUGUAGACGGCUUUCUGGACCGUAACUGACGCUGAGACACGAAAGCGUGGGUAGCAAACAGGG